rnacentral:rRNA from 1 species
UACGUAGGGGGCUAGCGUUGCUCGGAAUCACUGGGCGUAAAGGGCGCGUAGGCGGCCGUUCAAGUCGGGGGUGAAAGCCUGUGGCUCAACCACAGAAUGGCCCUCGAUACUGGAUGGCUCGAGACCGGAAGAGGUUGGUGGAACUGCGAGUGUAGAGGUGAAAUUCGUAGAUAUUCGCAAGAACACCAGUGGCGAAGGCGGCUCACUGGCCCGAUACUGACGCUGAGGCACGAAAGCGUGGGGAGCAAACAGGG